rnacentral:rRNA from 1 species
CUACGGAGGGUCCGAGCGUUAUCCGGAAUCAUUGGGUUUAAAGGGUCCGUAGGCGGGAAUCUAAGUCAGUGGUGAAAUCUUGCAGCUCAACUGUAAAAUUGCCAUUGAUACUGGAUUUCUUGAAUUAGUGUGAAGUGGUUAGAAUGUGUAGUGUAGCGGUGAAAUGCAUAGAUAUUACACAGAAUACCAAUUGCGAAGGCAGAUCACUAACACUAUAUUGACGCUAAGGGACGAAAGCGUGGGGAGCGAACAGGAUUAGAAACCCCAGUAGUCC